GUAAGUUCAGCCAUGACAAAGUGAUUGAAAUAUAAAAUAAAAGUAAAAAAUGCAAAGUUUUGAGUGUCCAAAAAAAAAAUUUAAUACGUUCACAACAUGUAAUCGUUCAAGAUCAAUGAUUUUGUUAAUUUCUUCAAACUAUAGUCAUAAAAGUGCGCCUAACUUUGUUUUGUUUUCAAAAGGAUUCGCUUUUUCAAUUAAUGUGUUCAUCUGUUCAAUGCUUCUUUCAGAAUAAUCAUAUCGUUUUCACUCUUGUCGACAACGUGAAGCAAAUUGUUUGGUUCAGUUUCAUACUUUGUAAAAUUGCAAUCUUGAUCCACGAAUCAUAUUUACACGACAUUUUUAACAUAGUCUCCGACUUGUUUUCGAACCAAAUGCGUAAUUUUUAAUUCCCAGAAAGAAUUUACAAUACAAUUAUAUCCCGAAUGAAAUGGUAUUUUGAUUUUGUUCUACUUAUAAGUAUACUGUCAUCAAUAAUUUUACAACGAGCAGAGAAAGAUAAAUAACGAGAAAGAGAAAAAACACUUACCAUUAGACAAAAAUAUAAUUUUAUUGAUUACAGAAUACUGAAGAGCAUUUAGAAUAUGGCCUGCAAUUAUGGAAUAAAUUGCACAAAGAGACACAACUAUUUCAAAGUGGAACAUGUUUAGGUGUGUUGGCCAUAAAUCUGGGUCAGCCAAAAAUCUUUAAAGCAAUUUUUGGUUGACCCAUAUUUAUGGCCAACACACCUUAAAAUUGCUUUAGAGAUUUUAGAAUCCAACAUACAACCACAUUUUCCAUCAGUUGUGCUGCCUCUGCAAAAUGGCCACUAUCGGCAAGUACAUUAGCCGAACAAACUAUUGUGGCCAUUUUGCAGAGGCAACACAACUAAUUCAAGAAAGUAAAAAUGAUUACCCAAAAUUCAACAUAUAAGCUAGCGUGGUUGAAGAGAUUAGAGAAAGUUUAAAGAAUUAUCCAACGACGGAGGACAAAACCAAGUAUGUUAUUACUUACUACCUACUUUGCAGAAAAUGAGCCGAUAUCGUCAUAACCGUAUUUUUCUCGAAAGCGGACAAUUUCUUUGGUAUUUAAAAUUUUAAAGGAAUUUACGAUACAAUUAUUUCCCGAAUGAAAUGGUAUUUUGGUUUUGUUCUACUUAUAAGUAUACUGUUUGAUUAAUUUAUUGUUUAAAUCAACUUAAAGGCAUUUCGAUACCACUUACAAGCAAAACAAUUACAUUCGGCACUCUUGAAAUUCUCUAAGUUAUCGAAUAAUUUCUAUAAAAAGAAGUUAAAAAUGAAUUUUUUAAAAUACAAAUCAAUAAUUUAUCAAGUGCAGAAGCAGUCGAUGAUCGGAUCGGUGAGAACUUUGUUCAGCAAAAGAUUCUUAGGAAUCAAAGAUUAUGAAAUACGAUGAUCGACACAAGUACCGUUUGUUUCAACGACUGCGGAAAUGGAAACGGAAGCGGGAAAAGCGGCCAGGAUUAUGAAGUAUUGGUGUCAUACAAUAGGAAAUACUUCAUAAUCCUGGCUGUUUUUCCCGCUUCUUUCUCUAAGAAUGUGUGAAAAAAUUUCUCCAAAUGACAAUGUGUCUAUAUAUCAUCCAUAACGAUCCAGCACAAAUGAAGGCCUUCUCGUUUGGGCCUUGUUAAAAAAAAACUACAUGAAUACCUUUGGUAAUGAGGAUGUUGUAUUACCAUAAUUUGCCGUACCAAGCGUUGAAGAUUCCUGAGCCCAAUCCACGAAAACAAUAUUUUUCUUUUUGGAAAAUUCGUCCAGGAAAAUUAUUUUUCUUGU